rnacentral:lncRNA from 1 species
CGAAAGAGCACAGGGCCGCAUCAUGUCGGGGUUCAGACCCCCCUGCUUGGUCCUUCCUCUCGAAACUAAAUGUUAAUGUUACUUUAAGUUCAUGUUCAACCAUCCAAUUUUUCAAAGUUGUAAAAUUCCACUAACUAUCAUUCAUCAUGAAAAAGAACUUUUUAUUACAAUAAACAAAAUUAAUUAUAAAUAAUGAAUAAUUUAACUUAACAACUUGUAAGUAGGAAACACUGGUCAAUGAUGCAAUUCCAAAUAAUGUUAAAAGAUACAAAAAGGCGACGAUCACAGCAGCGUCCAUAACAACACCAACACCAAGCAAAACAGCUUUCACGACCAGGACGAAUCACCAACAGUCACAGUGCAGACGAACAAAACACGGCACGGUGACACCACAUUCAACGAAGCUCCCUCCAGUGUCAGUCUUUUAUCUGGCCAUCUAAUUCCCAUAAUUGUACAUAAAUGAUGGUAAAAUUGAUUUUUUUCAAAACAUUAACUACUGUUAUUCUUUCCUUUUCACCUCUAACUAUUUUUACGGUCUUUGUACCACAAUUACAUCUCCUUAAUAAUAAAUUUAAAUUCUUCUUGCUAUGUUCCUUCUCUGACAUCACUUUCAACGAAAUUCUCCACCCCACAAUAUGGCGGGAAGGCAAACAGGUGCAUACAAUGAAACUUUUUUUCUCUCCUUUUAAAAUACUUUAAUUUAAUAGAAUCGUUUUUUUUUUCAAUUCCU